ACCACUGUAUAAAUAAUGCCCAGGACUGAAAUGUGCAGCAAGUUUUAUGCACCAGUGGGAGAUUCAGCCUUCUUUUAAAUAAUGAUGUACUACAUAGAAGCCUUUUUUGAAACACAAUUUCUAAAACCUGUUUAGAAUGUGUAGCAUAGGAUAUAGUGUGGAAAAAUUCCACCAGGUGUGUGUUUGAGUCCUUGGCUGAGCUCAUGUAACGUGGCUCCAAGUUACCAGUGUCUAGGAAUAUGAACUUUUCAAUCCACCCCCCCACCCACCCUUUAUUGCUGCACGAUAAGUUAAUAUUGAACACAUAUGUUCCCAGGACAAGAGAAUAUAAGAGGCAUGAGAAUCUGUGUCUACAUUUCCUCUCAUCGUAGGUGACGUAAAACAAAGAAAACAUUCCAAUUUACAGAUACUCCUAAUACGGCAUGGAUGAAUAGCCUGCUGUUAGGUAAUUAAAAUUUUAGCAGAAGUGUUUCACAGAAUCAACAGCAACACAGCCCUAUAUAGCGUUUCUGAUUAUGAGUUGUUAAGUGUUAGCACACUACUGGCAAACAGUGAUCAGUAGUGAGUAUGCCAGGUAGAUUUUCUGCAGUUUUUGAGGAGGGGGUGAACACUUGUUUCUUUCUCAUGCUUAUUGUAGGGAGUAGGUUACCUAAACAGAAAGAUAAUAGAAGAGGAAAUACUUAUCACAGUUGAGGGGAAGCAACCAAUAACCACUAAGCUCAUGUAUGCUGCAGCCUUAGUUACUUCUGCUUUAGAACCUGUUUCUGGAUUGCCUCAGACUCUUUAGAAUUCUUGGAGAAGUUCAUUCAGUUGUCCAGAAGCUUUGUUCAAACAGGAGGCAGUUACAUCCUUCAGGGGUUUUUGCAUGACUCCCUUUUGUCCAGGUCAUGUUCACAUUGCAUUGAAGGUCCAUCUGGCUGUGUUAGGAAACAGAAGGCAGGAUAUUGCAUUAGUGAUAUUUUCUUGGGCUCUUCCUCGUCUCCUGACCUUUUUCUACCAUGCAAAUUCCUGCAUAGGAAGCCUACACACUAUGGUUUUUAUUUCCAGUCCAUGUAGUUAUGUACAAGAGG